GACGAACGCUGGCGGCGUGCUUAACACAUGCAAGUCGAACGAAGUGGCGAACGGGUGAGUAACGCGUAAUCAACCUGCCCUUCAGAGGGGGACAACAGUUGGAAACGACUGCUAAUACCGCAUACUGAAGGUGGGGAUUGCGUUGGAUUAGCUAGUUGGAGGGGUAACGGCCCACCAAGGCGAUGAUCAGUAGCCGGGCUGGGAGGAUGAACGGCCAAAUUUGGACUGGGACACGGCCCAGAACCCUACGGGGGGCAGCAGGUGGGAAACUUCCGCAAUGGACGGAAGUCUGACGGAGCAACGCCGGGGGGGUGAUGACGGCCUUCGGGUUGUAAAACUAUGUUAAUCGGGACGCGGUACCGGAAUAGAAAGCCACGGCUAACUACGUGCCAGCAGCCGCGGUAAUAC
rnacentral:rRNA from 1 species